GGGUUAUCAUGGAGAGGCUGGACCUCAGGGAGACAGAGGACAAAAAGGAGACAAGGGAAAUAAAGGAGUCAGAGGCCUUGUUGGGCCUCCCGGCUACAUAGGAUUGCCCGGAGCCAGGGGUCCUCCUGGUUUUCCAGGACCACCAGGGACUGUGG